CUCACAGAGAUCCGCCUGCCUCUGCCUCCCGAGUGCUGGGAUUAAAGGUGUGCGCUACCACCGCCCGGCCCAGAAACUUGUAUUCUUAAACUCUGCUUCCCAAAGGCUUUACAUAUCUAACAAAGAAUUAAGUGAACCUAAACAUGUCCCACAACUUUUAGAAAUGUAUAAAACCAAAAGCCUAACAAUAUAAUAGUUAAGCAUACCAGUAAUUAAAACACCAAACACAUAUUUCAGCAAGCUAUAGUGGCUGUUAGAAGUUCUGAAUUUUAUCUUACUGUAUGUUAAUAAACAAUUUCCAGUUACCUCUCUAUAAAUCUGUAAAUGCAUCAAAGUCCCCACAGGACAGACAACUGACUUCUGUUAUUCUGUUUGCUCUGUUAUCAGCCUCAGCAUGUAAAACAUAGUUUUGAAUAUGAUAUCACCGAUAUAACUGUUCAGUGAACAUUUCUGAGACAAAUCACACUGCUAAUGGUGUCAGAAAGGAGGAUGCUCCUCUGGACAAACAGCAGAAUGACUAAACUAUGUACACCAAAUGUCUCCUCUACAGAAUACUCAGCAAGAAUGUCCUAUAGGGAAACGAGAAGCCGACAAGCCUCAGCUAUGAGCACAUACUUCCUGCUUAUGCCUGUUUGCCCUUUUCUUAAAUAUAAGAGCAGCACUGGGCAUCUUUGUAAAUGUCUUACAGGGGAGGCUAUAAAAGAAACAACCAUUAGUAAAUACAUUUGAAGGCUAAAUUAUGUUCCUAGAACUGAAACAUAAUUUAUUUUUAAAAGCUCAGGAUAAGGAGGUUUUGGAAAUUUAAAAAAAGUGACAGUAGAAAUCAAAAGUGAACGGAUGGAAUUAAGGGCUUCUCUAAAAGAAUUAAAGCAAAGAAACAAAGAAUAGGAAAGGAAAGUUUGAAAGUUGAAGAGUUGCCCAGCAGUUCAAACCCCAUAUAGUUAUAAGCUAAUGAGUUAGUUUCAGAAUAAGAGUCUGUAUUUUUAUAUUGAAAGUAUCUAGCACUGAUUAAAAUCCAUACCAGACAUAAAUCCCAUCACACCAGAAACCAAAAAGCUUCCAGAGGAAAACAGGGCAAGAGCAACAUUGGGCUAGACAAGAACAACGCAACAGCCUUCAGAACCCCUCAUGUCCAAGUGCCAAAGGGUGCACUUGCCAUCCCAGCACUUGGAAGGACUUCGAGUACGAGGCCAUCCCCAGAGACGUAGUGAGACCCUGUCUCAACAACAAUAAAACCGGUAACCAUCUACACCAUCAGUUAAAUAGGUUGAUUAAAGACCUUUCUAGACAUUCCAGAAAAUCAUUUUAGGGAUAUGAUUGAAGGAUGUGUUUGGCAGAAAUGGAAGGAUGAAGGUUGAGAGAUGACAGGAGAUUGAGGAUAGAGGAGCACCAACCCAACAGCCAUUGGAAGAAAUCCCCAAGGUACAGUGUCCUGGGAUGUUAGCACAAAAUGCUCUCAUGUAUUUGGGGGUGAGACGGUAAGGUGGAGUGGCAGCACUGGGGAAGCUCCAGCUGUACAUCCCAUAAUAGGAUUCUUUUUAUGCUGAGCACAGAGAGCACAUAGCUACUCAAGUCAUCAUUCCUUCAGUACAUAUUUACAGAAUACUUGCUGUAUGUUCAUUUGGGUCAGGUGUGUUUAUCUGGGCAACAUAGUAAGAUGACCUGACCACCCCCCCAACCCCCUGCAUCUCAUAAAAAAAGUUUUAUAGAAUUUAAACUUUUAUGGAGGAGCCAAGAUGAUAGAGAAGUAGGCAGACACCUGAUGUCAGUGUGGCAGGUCCCAUUUAAAAAUUAAGGCAGGUUAGUGAGGAUGGAGAUGGAACAGUGUGGGGGGUAUCAAUUCAGUGUUCCGAAAUUUUGAACAGUCCAUUAAUGUGGCAUGUAGAUUUGGAAGGAAGGAGUCAUGUGGAUACUGAGGGAAGAGGAUUCCAGGCAGAGGGAAGAGCAAGUACCUAAGUGAGAAGCAUUGGUACCACGUGAUGCUGAUAACCAAGGGGCUAGUUAUGAGCCUCCAGCAAGCUCCUGCUACUCACUGGGAAGCAGCUGCCCUGUGAUGGGGACCAUCAUGGGGAUACAGUGAUGACACAUGUACUACCUGUGUGGUAGGCUUUCUAGGCUGCAUAGUUAUUAUUGCUUUGGAUCUGCCCCCAAGUAGUUGAAAAUCUAAGGGCAAAAUUUCUGGAGAUAAUUAGGUUUAGACUAGUGGUCUUCAACCCUUGCAGAGUAUCUAAAUCAUCAUAUAAGCAUGUAAUGAUAGAUUCCCUCCCAUAUCUUAGCCUCUGAAUUUGGUCCAAGUCAAAAUAGGAUAUAGACUCUUAGGAAGGUUGCUGCUCUAAGGACAGAGGGAGAGAGUACUGGGAGGGAGAUCUGGAAUUGUGGUGUGUGUGUAGGGAGGCCAGAGAUGAAGAAAACUAGUGCAGUGGAAACUCCAUGGAGUCUAUGAGAGUGACCCUAGCGAAGUCUCCUAGUUAUGGCUAUCUUCUAUAAUCAGGCAAGACUUCUAGCAGUGGGGCUGGAAUUUCAAUCCACCUACAAAACCUUCUACCUACAAUCUGCCCUGCCUGCAAGAUGUCCUGGGGUAAUGGUGGUGUAAAACUUGUGGGAGGGGCCAACCAAGGACUGGUCCAACUUGAGGCCCACACCACAAGAGAACCCACGCCCAACACUGCCUGGAUGGCCAGGAACCAGAGGCAGGACAUCCCGGAGACCCAGGGUAGAACCAACAUGAAUGGCAAAAAAAAAAAAAAAAAAAGUCAAUGAAAUGAUUCUUAAUGAUAUUCUUCUAUA